rnacentral:tRNA from 1 species
CAAGGUGUAGCGCAAUUUGGUAGCGCAUCUGCUUUGGGCGCAGAGGUUUGUUCAAAUCCCGUCACCUUGA